GAUGAACGCUGGCGGCGUGCUUAACACAUGCAAGUCGAGCGAAGCAGUUAAGUUGAUUUCUUCGGAUUGAUUCUUGACUGACUGAGCGGCGGACGGGUGAGUAACGCGUGGGUGACCUGCCCCAUACCGGGGGAUAACAGCUGGAAACGGCUGCUAAUACCGCAUAAGCGCACAGAGCUGCAUGGCUCGGUGUGAAAAACUCCGGUGGUAUGGGAUGGGCCCGCGUCUGAUUAGGUAGUUGGCGGGGUAACGGCCCACCAAACCGACGAGCAGUAGCCGGCCUGAGAGGGCGAGCGGCCACAUUGGGACUGAGACACGGCCCAAACUCCUACGGGAGGCAGCAGUGGGGAAUAUUGCACAAUGGGGGAAACCCUGAUGCAGCGACGCCGCGUGAGCGAAGAAGUAUUUCGGUAUGUAAAGCUCUAUCAGCAGGGAAGAUAAUGACGGUACCUGACUAAGAAGCCCCGGCUAACUACGUGCCAGCCGCCGCCGUAA
rnacentral:rRNA from 1 species